rnacentral:lncRNA from 1 species
CUCGCCCUAACUUGAGCAAAGUUGAAGGCCCGGUUCUUUUAGACCGGAUGGGGGGAGAGGCCUUGCAACGCCCAUAUGUGCCCCCACAGCCCUGUUAGGGACAGGAGGAGAACCUCGCCCUAACUAGAGCAAAGUCGAAGGCCCGGUUCUUUUAGAUCGGAUGGGGGGAGAGGCCUUACAACGUCCAUAUGUGCCCCCACAGCCCUAUUAGGGACAGGAGGAGAACCUCGCCCUAACUUGAGCAAAGUCGAAGGCCCGAUUCUUUUAGACCGGAUGGGGGGAGAGGCCUUGCAACACCCAUAUGUGCCCCCGCAGCCCUGUCAGGAACAGGAGGAGAACCUCGUCCUGACAUGAGCAAAGUGGAAGACCCGGACUCCUACGGGAGCCGGGUCCCUACGCCAAGAAAACUUUGCCCGGACUCCUAUGGGAGCCGGGUCCCUACGCCAAGAAAACUCCGCCCGGACUCCUACGGGAGCCGGGUCCCUACGCCAAGA